rnacentral:rRNA from 1 species
UUAAAACCUGCCGUUGGCGGCAGGCCUAACACAUGCAGUCGAACGGACCCUUCGGGGUUAGUGGCGGACGGGUGAGUAACACGUGGGAACGUGCCUUUAGGUUCGGAAUAGCACCUGGAAACGGGUGGUAGUGCCGAAUGUGCCCUUCGGGGGAAAGAUUUAUCGCCUUUAGAGCGACCCGCGUCUGAUUAGCUAGUUGGUGAGGUAACGGCUCACCAAGGCGACGAUCAGUAGCUGGUCUGAGAGGAUGACCAGCCACACUGGGACUGAGACACGGCCCAGACUCCUACGGGAGGCAGCAGUGGGGAAUCUUGCGCAAUGGGCGAAAGCCUGACGCAGCCAUGCCGCGUGAAUGAUGAAGGUCUUAGGAUUGUAAAAUUCUUUCACCGGGGACGAUAAUGACGGUACCCGGAGAAGAAGCCCCGGCUAACUUCGUGCCAGCAGCCGCGGUAAUACGAAGGGGGCUAGCGUUGCUCGGAAUUACUGGGCGUAAAGGGCGCGUAGGCGGAUCGUUAAGUCAGAGGUGAAAUCCCAGGGCUCAACCCUGGAACUGCCUUUGAUACUGGCGAUCUUGAGUAUGAGAGAGGUAUGUGGAACUCCGAGUGUAGAGGUGAAAUUCGUAGAUAUUCGGAAGAACACCAGUGGCGAAGGCGACAUACUGGCUCAUUACUGACGCUGAGACGCGAAAGCGUGGGGAGCAAACAGGAUUAGAUACCCUGAUAGUCCACGCCGUAAACGAUGAUUGCUAGUUGUCGGGCUGCAUGCAGUUCGGUGACGCACUUAACGCAUUAAGCAAUCCGCCUGGGG